rnacentral:rRNA from 2 species
GUUAAGUGACUAAGCGUACACGGUGGAUGCCUUGGCAGUCAGAGGCGAUGAAGGACGUAGUAACUUGCGAUAAGCCCAGAUAAGGCAGUAACAGCCAUUUGAAUCUGGGAUUUCCGAAUGGGGAAACCCACGUGCAUAAGCACGUAUCAUGCAGUGAAUACAUAGCUGUAUGAGGCGAACUCGGGGAACUGAAACAUCUAAGUACCCGAAGGAAAAGAAAUCAAUUGAGAUUCCGGCAGUAGCGGCGAGCGACCCCGGAUUAGCCCUUAAGCGGUUUAAGUGUUAGUGGAAUCAUCUGGAAAGGUGAGCGAUACAGGGUGAUAGCCCCGUACACGACAAUGCUUUUA